GACGAACGCUGGCGGCGUGCUUAGCACAUGCAAGUCGAACGGAAAGGCCCUGCUUUUGUGGGGUGCUCGAGUGGCGAACGGGUGAGUAACACGUGAGUAACCUGCCCUUGACUUUGGGAUAACUUCAGGAAACUGGGGCUAAUACCGGAUAGGAGCUCCUGCUGCAUGGUGGGGGUUGGAAAGUUUCGGCGGUUGGGGAUGGAUUCGCGGCUUAUCAGCUUGUUGGUGGGGUAGUGGCUUACCAAGGCUUUGACGGGUAGCCGGCCUGGGAGGGUGACCGGCCACAUUGGGACUGAGGUACGGCCCAGACGCGAACGGGAGGCAGCAGUGGGGAAUAUUGCACAAUGGGCGGAAGCCUGAUGCAGCAACGCCGCGUGCGGGAUGACGGCCUUCGGGUUGUAAACCGCUUUCGCCUGUGACGAAGCGUGAGUGACGGUAAUGGGUAAAGAAGCACCGGCUAACUACGUG
rnacentral:rRNA from 1 species